rnacentral:rRNA from 1 species
ACAAUGGGCGAAMGUGNAUUCCAGCCAUGCCGCGUGAGUGAUGAAGGCCCUAGGGUUGUAAAGCUCUUUCACCGGUGAAGAUAAUGACGGUAACCGGAGAAGAAGCCCCGGCUAACUUCGUGCCAGCAGCCGCGGUUAAUACGAAGGGGGCUAGCGUUGUUCGGAAUUACUGGGCGUAAAGCGCACGUAGGCGGAUUGUUAAGUGAGGGGUGAAAUCCCAGGGCUCAACCCUGGAACUGCCUUUCAUACUGGCAGUCUUGAGUCCGAGAGAGGUGAGUGGAAUUCCGAGUGUAGAGGUGAAAUUCGUAGAUAUUCGGAGGAACACCAGUGGCGAAGGCGGCUCACUGGCUCGGUACUGACGCUGAGGUGCGAAASGUUGGGGAGCAAACAGGAUUAGAUACCCUGGUAGUCCACGCCGUAAACGAUGAGAGCUAGCCGUUGGCAGGUUUACCUGUCGGUGGCGCACUAACGCAUUAAGCUCUCCGCCUGGGGAGUACGGUCGCAAGAUUAUMACUCAAAGGAAUUGACGG